rnacentral:rRNA from 1 species
AACCAGCACCCUCGAGUGGUCAGGAGGUUUAUUGGGCCUAAAGCAUCCGUAGCCGGUUGCAUAAGUUUUCGGUUAAAUCUAUGCGCUUAACGUAUAGGCCGCCGAAAAAUACUGUGCGAGCGUAGGGAGUGGGAGAGGUACACGGUACUCGAUAGGAAAGGGUAAACUUCCUUUGAUCUAUUGAUGACCACCUGUGGCGAAGGCGGUGUACCAGAACACGUUCGACGGUGA